CCACCUCAUGCGCGUGCAGCGCCCCAGCCCCGCGCAACCCACAGAGCGCACAGCGCCGUUCACUUCGCAUGGUAGCGUUUUAUUAUUUUCUCGCAUUUUUGUCGUUGCGUUCUCGCUUCGGAGCGAAAAGUGAAAACCUGAGGUGGAGCCCGCGGGGCCGGGCCAGCAAAGCCCGGGUGGAGGGGCUGAGGGGCCGGCGGGGUGGCUCCUCCUGCGGGGCUGGGGGCUGGGGGCGGCUCCCCCGGCCAAGGACCCCCACCCCGCCCUGUACAAUACAGAUGCUCAUGGAGGAUGAAAAAAAUUAAAUGCUAUGAGUUAAUCUCUAAAUAUAUGUACACAGCAAUGUACACACCUUUGAAUAAAUUAAUACCAAUUUGCAUAUUCUGGGAAUCUUAAAGCUUAUUUACACAAAUUACCAUUUAUUUUAUAAAUAUCUUUUUUCCCCUGGGGACUCAAGGCAGAAGAGCCACUUCCUCCGCUGGCCAGGAGUUCGAGGGGCGCCUGUCUGGGGGCGAGAGGUGGGGGAAUCCUAAAAGGACAGCCCCCCCACCGCCAGCUCCAGUCUACACUGACUUGGGUCUUUUCCCGCUCCAGCCCCCUCCCCCAAUUUCUCAGGAGGUCCAGGCCCAAGGCCAGGGGCCCGGGACUCACUCCGAAGCUCCCACCGCUGGCCGGAGCACCUUCGGGCUUCUGAAAGGACCUGGGGCUGGGGUGGGAGGCUUCCCACACAGCGCAGAAGACUGGAGAUCCCACUGGUGUCACCUUGAUGGAUGCUGGAGCAGGUCUGGACCGAGUCCACUGGCUCCAAAGCGACUGUGUUCCAGGUAGCCUGAUUCCUGGUUGAGGCCCGGGGAAGUGCCCCGGACGCCCGCCUGCCAGAAGAGGCUCUAUUCUGGCUGCUGCAGCCCGCUGUUCUCCUUUAUUUAAAUAAAUACCCAUUCUGUGCUGUACACGUUCCAAGCAGUAGGGGCAGGCAGCCCUGGAGGCCUGCAUGGCAGCGAGCAGCGAGCAGCGAGCAGCGGGGCAGCCCCUCACUUGGGCGACUCCCCCUGCCUGGCGGAGAGGGCUCGCUGGCUCUCCAGCCCCGCUCACCAGUCUCUGGAUGUUCUGCAGUUCACUGGCUGCCUCCUUGGCGGAGACGCUGGGUGACAGGGCACCUCUCGAUGGACCCCCGACUUUUCGGAGAGGCAGCUCGGGCAGGGGGCUGGGUUCCCGGCUGUUGCCACCUGCAGCCUUGGAGUCCCUCCGCCGCCAGCCCAGUAGUGAGGAGACCGGGGCUAGGCGGGAUGGUGACCGGGAUCUGGUAGGGGCUGAAGCGCAGGCGGGGGCCGGGCACUGCCCAGGAAGGGGCUCCGGGAUAGGAGCCUGCGGCAGCCGCGGCUGCAGCCGCAGCACUAGUGGCCGGCAAAGCGGAGGCGCAACGCGGCAGCUGCUGCCAUGUAGGUGUAGGGGUAUGGGAAGAGGCCUCGAAGGUGGGCAUUGGGAUUCCCUGGAAGGAACAGAACAAAACAAGGGUUAGACACCUGAGGGAGGAGUUUCCUGAGGGUGUGGCCUGUAGGCUACAGCUGGUAAACCUUGUCCCACUGUUUCAGGACAGAAAACCAGAACUCCAGUAACUAAAACCACAGGCAGCAGAGGAAGACAUGAGCCAGUGUGCACACACCCAAACCCAGUUAGGGGUGCACAUCACCCAAGGCGUGACGUAAAAGGCCAGGUGCCAUCAAGCUCUGUGCUGGCUGUCACAGCAGGCGUGAGGGGAAGAACAUGGCAGGUUGGCUGAACUGGCACAGGCAAAGGCCUAGAGGAGGACCGGGCAGGCAGAGCGCCAGGGGUGGCGUCUUAGGAGGUUCUGGUCAUUUGCAACAGUGUUCUUUCCUAUUCUAGAAGAGCUGGGGGGAGUUCAGUCUGAGGGAGGAGCCAAGGUAAACUCUCCUGCCUGCUCACCUGCUCGAGCGUGGUCUCUUGCCUGGGCCAGGAGUAGGGGCACAAGGGGCAGGGGUUUAUAAAUGGGCCUGAAUGUUCCACAAGUAACUGGCAGGUUAGGGAAGAAUGCAGUCUUUGCCUGUGGAUAGCAGAGCUGGCCAGGAAACCCUGCGACAAACACCCCUGAGCUCCCUAGGGGCCGAGGGCCGACUUUUGGAUUAUCUGACCUUUGAGAUAAUGGCUCACUCUCUAGGAGUGUAGGGGGAGCGGGGGAAGCACCUAGAUGAGGGAGAAAACACGCUUCCUGAGAGGGUCAAGGCCCACAGAGCAUUUCAGAUCUGGUAUCUUGGUUGGGAAGAGGUUUCAGAUCUGCAAGGAUCUGCUCUACCUGCUAGCACCAGCCUGGGAACUAACCCACCACCAGUUCUACCAACAGAUGCCUCCUGAGUCUGGGUACUCUCACGCUGGCCUUGCACCUGCUCACCAGGGUGUGCGCAGGAGCCCCGGCUUCCCUGGUGACCUCUAUAAUGCCCAUGACCAUCUCCAGAAUUCGUUUAUGGAGGAGGCAUUCGCGUGCGCACACACACACACACACUCAAGCACAGUCAAGGGGGCAGAUGAACCUUCCAGACCCCAGACCAGAUUCUCCAGGGCCUUCCACAGGAUGCUGGCGCCUCAAACACUCCACACACCCAGAUGCUGAGCUGGGUUGAAAACUUAUUUCAGAGCCCCCACCCCCUGUCCCACUUCAAAAAUAUUUGCUCCUGAACCAAAGGCGCUUUCUCAGACCUGAACUCCUAUUUUCCUUCCCUUCAGAUAAGAUCUCAAGGGUUCAAUUUGCCAGAAACCUCAGAGGGAAGAAAAAUGAAUGAAGAGAUUCCAAAUCUUUCCAUAAGGAAUAUUCCACCCAAGUAACCAAAGAGGCCGCUUCCCCAUCGGAUCAAGUCCUUAUUUGCGCUGCUGGCCACAUUUUCAUAAACUCUCCCCCUGGGAGGUCAGUUUCAAGGGGGCCCUGGGGGAACUGAGCCCGCUCCUUUCCUGAGACGUGGCUGGGAGUAUUGGGAGGACUUGAGAGUGGGGAGAAGACUGAGCCUGUCCUUCGGGUCAGGACAGAGGACUCCUUAGAGAGCUUGAAAUAGGCUAGAAAUAUCUGGGAGGUGGAUCCUUUUGGUUGCAUCAAAUAUCCAGAAAAUAAUGCAAAUUUUCCUUUUCUCUUUGUCCAGCCAACUUAACCUUUCCAAACUGACAUUGAGACAAAAAAUUAUCUUCCUUCCCAAAACAAAUUUCUUGAGGCCAGAAGCAUAGACUACACAAAAGCCAGGGGCAACCCCAAGAGUCCCCACACACACACUUAGGGUGGAACCCAGGGCCUGUUAUUGUGCUGAACAAGUGCUCUCCCACUGAGCUACAUCCCCAGUCCUUUUUAUUUUUUAUUGUGAGACAGGGUCAUGCUAAGCCACUAAAUUGCCUAGGCUGGCCUCGAGCUUCUUAUUCUCCUGCCUCCGCCUCUGGAAUAGCUGAGAGUACAGGAGUACACCACCUUCUAUGGCUCAAGACUCUUAUUAGUGGGUUCCCACACUCCUUACUGGGGCUCUAGGGAAAGAAACAGGCCCAGAGACGGUCAGACACUUCACCAACGGUCACACAGUAGCCAGAACCUAGGCCAACAGCUUUAAUCUCUCAGAACCUGGUUGUCUUUGAGACUGACCAGAUAAGUGUCCACGGAUUCUCCCAGAACUGUGAUCUGGGCUCCUGGAGGGUCCAGGCACCUAAGACACCUGCAAGCCCUCUGCCCUCCUCGGCCCCCCCCCCCCCCAUCACCUUGGUUCCCUCCUUUGGGCUGCCUCCCUGCUCCCCAGCCUUACCUGAGAUGCCAGCAUGUGCUGGGAGAGGUGGAAUGGGAAGGGCGCGGUGCUUGCUGCGCUGGCUGCGGGACCCAGCCCGCCUGCGUCCAGCCCCUGCGGUGGCCGGCCCGGCGCCUCCUCCACUGCCACCUCCUGCUGUCACGGAGGCCAGCAGGUGACCCAUGCCCAUGGCAGAGAAAGCGCCGGGGCCCAUGGUGAACUGUCCUGGGUGUAGGAAGAGCGGCUGGCCGGCUCCUAGGGGCCCAAAGAACUGCUGGCCGUGCAGGUGGCUGGAGAAGGCCAGGCCCGGCAGAUGUCCGGCGCCCAGGGGGGAUGAACUGUCUGUCUGCACCACCAGUGGCGCCAGGCCGGGCUCCUUGCCCUCAGCUCCCCUCCUUGCGCCCGUCAUCCUUCCGCCGGGCUUCGGCGCGCUCCUUCUCCAGGCUCCUCAGGCCAAAAAGGCCGUCCCCGCUGCUCUCCCCCGGUUCCUUGCCUCUCUUCGGGACUGCGUCGCUCCCGGGUGCGCUCCGGGUCUGUCAAACGAGGGGGGCUGGCGCUGUCCCGAGCUGGGCUGCGGCCCAGGGCCACCCUGGCGCGCUCCUCACCCAGCCGCUCGGGCUCAGGGUCGCUGUCUGCGGCGCACGUCUUUUCAGCUGUGGGGAGAGGACGCGCGGGGAAAAGGUCAGUUCUCGGGGAGGUCCAGUCAGAUGCGCCUCUACAGUGGGACGCGGGGCGCCCGCAGUCAGCUAAUCCAAGACCUCAUGUUUACAGUGGAAGACAUUUAGGAAAACCUUACUGCCAGUGGAGAGGAAACCUAAUUGCCAGAGUUGCACAGCCUGCAAGCCAAGCUCGGAAUCCAGCCCGAUGCUCUGGCCACCAGAAACCAGUCAGUCACACAGCAGACGGAGCCCCAGGUUGGAACCCUUCCCCCCCAC
ensembl:lncRNA